rnacentral:rRNA from 1 species
GAGUUUGAUCCUGGCUCAGAAUCAACGCUGGCGGCGUGCCUAACACAUGCAAGUCGAGCGAGAAAAGGGUAGCAAUAUCCUGAGUAAAGCGGCGCACGGGUGAGUAACACGUGGGUAAUCUGCCCUGGAGUGGGGAAUAACACCGGGAAACCGGUGCUAAUACCGCAUACGAUCACGAUGUCUGCGGAUGACGUGAUGAAAGGAGCAAUUCGCUCCAGGAGGAGCCCGCGGCUGAUUAGCUAGUUGGUGAGGUAAUGGCUCACCAAGGCUACGAUCAGUAUCCGGUCUGAGAGGACGGUCGGACACACUGGAACUGAGACACGGUCCAGACUCCUACGGGAGGCAGCAGUGGGGAAUUUUUCGCAAUGGGGGAAACCCUGACGAAGCAACGCCGCGUGGAGGAUGAAGGCCUUCGGGUCGUAAACUCCUGUCGACCGGGACGAACGUAGUCGGGUUCAAUACACCCGGCUAUCGACUGUACCGGUGGAGGAAGCCACGGCUAACUCUGUGCCAGCAGCCGCGGUAAUACAGAGGUGGCAAGCGUUGUUCGGAAUUACUGGGCGUAAAGGGCGCGUAGGCAGUUCGUUAAGUCCUGUGUGAAAUCCCCCGGCUCAACUGGGGAACUGCACAGGAAACUAGCGGGCUUGAGUUCGGGAGAGGGAAGCGGAAUUCCGGGUGUAGCGGUGAAAUGCGUAGAUAUCCGGAGGAACACCGGUGG